GAUGAACGCUAGCGGCAGGCCUAAUACAUGCAAGUCGAACGAGAUUAAGAGGCUUGCUUCUUAUGAAAGUGGCGCACGGGUGCGUAACGCGUAUGCAACCUACCUUAAUCAGGGGGAUAGCCCGAAGAAAUUCGGAUUAAGACCGCAUAAAAACACAGGAUAGCAUUAUCCAAUGUUCAAAUAUUUAUAGGAUUAAGAUGGGCAUGCGUACCAUUAGCUAGUUGGUAGGGUAAUGGCCUACCAAGGCAACGAUGGUUAGCGGGUCUGAGAGGAUGAUCCGCCACACUGGAACUGAAACACGGACCAGACUCCUACGGGAGGCAGCAGUGAGGAAUAUUGCGCAAUGGGGGAGACCCUGACGCAGCGACGCCGCGUGGAUGGUGAAGGCCCUCGGGUCGUAAAAAUCCUGUCAGAUGGAAAGGAAUGUAGUAUGCCUAAUACGUGUACUAUUUGACGGUACCAUCAAAGGAAGCACCGGCUAACUCCGUGCCAGCAGCCG
rnacentral:rRNA from 1 species